AUUGAACGCUGGCGGCAGGCCUAACACAUGCAAGUCGAGCGGAUGAAGGGAGCUUGCUCCUGGAUUCAGCGGCGGACGGGUGAGUAAUGCCUAGGAAUCUGCCUGGUAGUGGGGGAUAACGUCCGGAAACGGGCGCUAAUACCGCAUACGUCCUGAGGGAGAAAGUGGGGGAUCUUCGGACCUCACGCUAUCAGAUGAGCCUAGGUCGGAUUAGCUAGUUGGUGGGGUAAAGGCCUACCAAGGCGACGAUCCGUAACUGGUCUGAGAGGAUGAUCAGUCACACUGGAACUGAGGCACGGUCCAGACAACUACGGGAGGCAGCAGUGGGGAAUUUUGGACAAAGGGCGAAAGCCUGAUCCAGCCACGCCGCGUGUGUGAAGAAGGUCUUCGGAUUGUAAAGCACUUUAAGUUGGGAGGAAGGGCAGUAAGUUAAGACCUUGCUGUUUUGACGUUACCAACAGAAUAAGCACCGGCUAACUUCGU
rnacentral:rRNA from 1 species